rnacentral:rRNA from 1 species
CCUACGGGGAGCUGCAGUGGGGAAUAUUGGACAAUGGGCGAAAGCCUGAUCCAGCCAUGCCGCGUGUGUGAAGAAGGCCUUCGGGUUGUAAAGCACUUUCAGUGGGGAAGAAAGCCUUGGGGCUAAUACCCUCGAGGAAGGACAUCACCCACAGAAGAAGCACCGGCUAACUCCGUGCCAGCAGCCGCGGUAAUACGGAGGGUGCGAGCGUUAAUCGGAAUUACUGGGCGUAAAGCGCGCGUAGGCGGUCUGAUAAGCCGGUUGUGAAAGCCCCGGGCUCAACCUGGGAACGGCAUCCGGAACUGUCAGGCUAGAGUGCAGGAGAGGAAGGUAGAAGUCCCGGUGUAGCGGUGAAAUGCGUAGAGAUCGGGAGGAAUACCAGUGGCGAAGGCGGCCUUCUGGACUGACACUGACGCUGAGGUGCGAAAGCGUGGGUAGCAAACAGGAUUAGAUACCCCGGUAGUC